rnacentral:rRNA from 1 species
GAUGAACGCUGGCGGCGUGCCUAACACAUGCAAGUCGAGCGAUCUUCUUCGGAAGAAAGCGGCGGACGGGUGAGUAACGCGUGGGUAACCUGCCCUGUACACACGGAUAACAUACCGAAAGGUAUGCUAAUACGAGAUAAUAUACUUUUAUCGCAUGGUAGAAGUAUCAAAGUUUUUGCGGUACAGGAUGGACCCGCGUCUGAUUAGCUAGUUGGUAAGGUAACGGCUUACCAAGGCGACGAUCAGUAGCCGACCUGAGAGGGUGAUCGGCCACAUUGGAACUGAGACACGGUCCAAACUCCUACGGGAGGCAGCAGUGGGGAAUAUUGCACAAUGGGCGAAAGCCUGAUGCAGCAACGCCGCGUGAGCGAUGAAGGCCUUCGGGUCGUAAAGCUCUGUCCUCAAGGAAGAUAAUGACGGUACUUGAGGAGGAAGCCCCGGCUAACUACGUGCCAGCAGCCGCGGUAAAAC